ensembl:lncRNA
CUUAAGUUAAGAUUGGAAUGCCUUAUUCGCGGCCUUAUUCAGUAUGCUGUCUUCUGUAGCUGUGAUUCCGCCAGCAGGGGGCGCUAUUUGUCAAGUUUCGACGAACGUAUCAAAGGUACCAAGGCAGUUCACCCUGACCUGACCAGAUGAGAGGGUGAGGAGGUCUAGGGGUCGGACCAGGUGACCUCCAGGAAGAAUUAAAGAGAAGAGUUGGAGCGUGCUGUCCUCGCCAGCCCUAACUCAAACCUAUCCAUCCCAACCUGACACCGAACGGUUUGUGAUGACUGAGCACCCAGCCCGGGUACCACUGGUGACUCUGGAGCAG